AGAUUUAGUUCAGUUGGUUAGAACGCCAGAUUGUGGAUCUGGAGGCCGUCGGUUCAAGUCCGACAUUC
rnacentral:tRNA from 1 species